AAUCAACGCUGGCGGCGUGCCUCAGACAUGCAAGUCGAACGAUUAAAGCUCUCUUCGGAGAGUGCAUAGAGUGGCGCACGGGUGAGUAACACGUAAGUAAUCUACCUUCGAGUGGGGAAUAACGUCCGGAAACGGACGCUAAUACCGCAUAAUGCAGCGGCAUCGUAAGAUGACAGUUGUUAAAGAUUUAUCGCUUGAAGAGGAGCUUGCGGCAGAUUAGCUAGUUGGUAAGGUAAUGGCUUACCAAGGCUACGAUCUGUAACCGGUCUUAGAGGACGGUCGGUCACACUGACACUGAAUAACGGGUCAGACUCCUACGGGAGGCAGCAGUCGGGAAUUUUGGGCAAUGGGCGAAAGCCUGACCCAGCAACGCCGCGUGAAGGAUGAAGUAUUUCGGUAUGUAAACUUCGAAAGAAUAGGAAGAAUAAAUGACGGUACUAUUUAUAAGGUCCGGCUAACUACGUGCCAGCAGCCGCGGU
rnacentral:rRNA from 1 species